GGGGGUGCUGCGAGCGCCCUCGGGCCGGGACGAGUGGAGGUGGGCUGCUCGGCGGCGCCAGCGUCCCGGCUGCGGUCCCACGCUCUCGGAGUGGGCCGUCCCUUCCACGUCUCCCCCACGUGUGCUUUCCCCUCUACCCUCUGUCCAGGCUCCCCGCCACACCGGCUAUGCCCUUUCGCCACCCCGCUCCUAACGUCCCCAAAGAGUUGCGCCUCCCCCGCAGGGAACCACCCAGAGGCCAGGCCAGUCGCUGCUCGGAAACGUCUGUGGAGCAACAUGAACAAUAAGAACUGUAAGGGGUGGGAAGGGACAGCUUCCGCCUGGAAGAGCUCCUGCAUCUGGACCUAACCUGUGACUGCAAAGUUUCUUGCUCCUUAUGAAAAGGAUGUUGUCUGGGUUUGAGAAUGGGAGAGAGCUUCAAGGCAGGACCAUUUAGCCAAUCCCCUGCUUUUGAGAAGGGAUAGAAAUGCAAUUCAUUUAAUAUCGUACAAAUUUUGUUAAUUUCAACACCCAUUUAAUAGUCUCCACUCCACUCUGCGAUUUGCUUCAAUUCUUGGCCAAGAGAGCAGAGAAUUCGUUCUUCUGUCCUUUCUUCAUUAUGUACAUCAAUCAAAGAAAAAAAUUGUUAAGAAACUUCUGUCCCUAACUUAAUAAAGUGAAUCUCUGUGACCCAUAGUUUUUAUAUUAUUUGUAAAACAUAUCACAUACCUUCUUAAACUUGCCAAGGAAGAACUCUUUUUAGCUGAUAACACUGCCAGCAACUAAGAUUUCAGCUCUUUAGAAGACCUAUUGAUGUCUCUAUAUUGAUUAAAUAUACUGCCUUUGAGGUGGGCUAAAUCUAUACCUUCCUGUCAGCCUACUGAAUACAGCAGUGUCCUCUUAGCUGAAAUUUCUGUGGUAUGUCAUCCUUAGAAAACUGCUGUCUGGAAAUAUUAAAUGGAAAAUUCCAGAAAUAAACAAUUCAUGAGUUUUAAAUGAUUUGUUAUAGUAUAUUGUUAUAAUUGCCCUAUUUUAUUACUGUUGUUAAUCUCUUACUGUGCC
rnacentral:lncRNA from 1 species